rnacentral:rRNA from 1 species
AGCCCCGUACACAAAAAUGCACAUGCUGUGAGCUCGAUGAGUAGGGCGGGACACGUGGUAUCCUGUCUGAAUAUGGGGGGACCAUCCUCCAAGGCUAAAUACUCCUGACUGACCGAUAGUGAACCAGUACCGUGAGGGAAAGGCGAAAAGAACCCCGGCGAGGGGAGUGAAAAAGAACCUGAAACCGUGUACGUACAAGCAGUGGGAGCACAGAGCAAUCUGUGUGACUGCGUACCUUUUGUAUAAUGGGUCAGCGACUUAUAUUCUGUAGCAAGGUUAACCGAAUAGGGGAGCCGAAGGGAAACCGAGUCUUAACUGGGCGUUAAGUUGCAGGGUAUAGACCCGAAACCCGGUGAUCUAGCCAUGGGCAGGUUGAAGGUUGGGUAACACUAACUGGAGGACCGAACCGACUAAUGUUGAAAAAUUAGCGGAUGACUUGUGGCUGGGGGUGAAAGGCCAAUCAAACCGGGAGAUAGCUGGUUCUCCCCGAAAGCUAUUUAGGUAGCGCCUCGUGAAUUCAUCUCCGGGGGUAGAGCACUGUUUCGGCAAGGGGGUCAUCCCGACUUACCAACCCGAUGCAAACUGCGAAUACCGGAGAAUGUUAUCACGGGAGACACACGGCGGGUGCUAACGUCCGUCGUGAAGAGGGAAACAACCCAGACCGCCAGCUAAGGUCCCAAAGUCAUGGUUAAGUGGGAAACGAUGUGGGAAGGCCCAGACAGCCAGGAUGUUGGCUUAGAAGCAGCCAUCAUUUAAAGAAAGCGUAAUAGCUCACUGGUCGAGUCGGCCUGCGCGGAAGAUGUAACGGGGCUAAACCAUGCACCGAAGCUGCGGCAGCGACACUAUGUGUUGUUGGGUAGGGGAGCGUUCUGUAAGCCUGUGAAGGUGUGCUGUGAGGCAUGCUGGAGGUAUCAGAAGUGCGAAUGCUGACAUAAGUAACGAUAAAGCGGGUGAAAAGCCCGCUCGCCGGAAGACCAAGGGUUCCUGUCCAACGUUAAUCGGGGCAGGGUGAGUCGACCCCUAAGGCGAGGCCGAAAGGCGUAGUCGAUGGGAAACAGGUUAAUAUUCCUGUACUUGGUGUUACUGCGAAGGGGGGACGGAGAAGGCUAUGUUGGCCGGGCGACGGUUGUCCCGGUUUAAGCGUGUAGGCUGGUUUUCCAGGCAAAUCCGGAAAAUCAAGGCUGAGGCGUGAUGACGAGGCACUACGGUGCUGAAGCAACAAAUGCCCUGCUUCCAGGAAAAGCCUCUAAGCAUCAGGUAACAUCAAAUCGUACCCCAAACCGACACAGGUGGUCAGGUAGAGAAUACCAAGGCGCUUGAGAGAACUCGGGUGAAGGAACUAGGCAAAAUGGUGCCGUAACUUCGGGAGAAGGCACGCUGAUAUGUAGGUGAAGCGACUUGCUCGUGGAGCUGAAAUCAGUCGAAGAUACCAGCUGGCUGCAACUGUUUAUUAAAAACACAGCACUGUGCAAACACGAAAGUGGACGUAUACGGUGUGACGCCUGCCCGGUGCCGGAAGGUUAAUUGAUGGGGUCAGCGCAAGCGAAGCUCUUGAUCGAAGCCCCGGUAAACGGCGGCCGUAACUAUAACGGUCCUAAGGUAGCGAAAUUCCUUGUCGGGUAAGUUCCGACCUGCACGAAUGGCGUAAUGAUGGCCAGGCUGUCUCCACCCGAGACUCAGUGAAAUUGAACUCGCUGUGAAGAUGCAGUGUACCCGCGGCAAGACGGAAAGACCCCGUGAACCUUUACUAUAGCUUGACACUGAACAUUGAGCCUUGAUG